UACGAAGGGAGCUAGCGUUGUUCGGAAUCACUGGGCGUAAAGCGCACGUAGGCGGAUGUGUCAGUCAGGGGUGAAAUCCCGGAGCUCAACUUCGGAACUGCCUUUGAUACAGCACAUCUGGAGUCCGGAAGAGGUGGGUGGAAUUCCUAGUGUAGAGGUGAAAUUCGUAGAUAUUAGGAAGAACACCGGUGGCGAAGGCGGCAUCCUGGACCAAUAUUGACGCUGAGGAGCGAAAGCCAGGGGAGCAAACGGG
rnacentral:rRNA from 1 species